rnacentral:lncRNA from 1 species
GAAGUGCAGAACCAGCUUGCAUCUCAGGAAAUGGACGUCACAAAGGUGUGUGGAGAAAUGCGCUUUCAGUUGAAUAAAACCAAAAUGGAGAAGGAUGAGGCAGAAAAGGAACACAAAGAAUACAAAGCAAAAUCUCAAAAGGAUCUUGAAAUGAAAGAUCAGAGUAACAGUGUGAUGUGCCUCGAGACCUAGAUUGCGGGCCUCUGGAGCGCACUGUGUAGUUCUGGGAGCAUCCAGCAAUAGACCCGUACUGUGUUGGAAGUGGGUAGCUGCAGUGUUCGUCUUUUCUACUUGUAGCGUUAGCACCCACAGACUAGAGUAAAUCUCCUACAGCGCUCAUCGCUCUGAAGCCACACACCCGUUCAGCAGCCUGAGGUAAUGGUGAAGUCUGAGAUCCAGACUUCAGAGACUCAUCCAGCUACCACCCGCCAUCACACUUCUCCCUCUACCCAGUGCCUGGGAGGGGGCCACAUGGGCAUGGCUUUGGCGCGUGCAGUCACGUGGGCCUGGUGAUGACAGCGCUGCUCGCCAUCUUCUUCACGCUCUCUUUCAUGCUGUAGCCUUACACAUUCCUGUCCCUCCUCCUCCGUCUUACAGCAGCUCCUGGGGGCAUGGCUUCCCUAAACCAGCUUACUAGACACUGGGGUAAAUAACUGCAAGUCCAGGUCCUGCCCUUGGGGAGUUUAUAUUCUAGCUGGGGACUCGGAAUAUGCAUUUGAACAUGCCGUAAGAAUCCUUGCAAAGCAGCAUAUCGACAAGUGCAAAUUAAUGUAGUGUGAACUUCACGCUGGCUGCAGCCCACGAGGGAGAAUCUGGUUCCACGUGUGCGAUGUAAUAAAGCUUCCCUAAGUAUGCCCUCAAGCGCUGUUCAGCAUACUUAGAGAAAUUUGUGUUCCUAUCACAGCCUAACUGAGAUUUCUGAGAAACAUUUUCAACCUAGCGUCUGUCUAAUAAGCCACUGUCUUUUGUUCUUAUCCUGGAUGAUGCCUGGUACAAAAUAAAAUUCAUUGCAUUAUGCAGAUAUUUUAACAUAGCUCCACUUAAUAAAAGUCUCAAAUUAUUGAGCUUAUUUUUCU